CCUACGGGAGGCAGCAGUGAGGAAUAUUGGUCAAUGGGCGUAAGCCUGAACCAGCCAAGUCGCGUGAGGGAUGAAGGUUCUAUGGAUCGUAAACCUCUUUUAUAAGGGAGUAAAGUGUGGGACGUGUCCUUUUUUGUAUGUACCUUAUGAAUAAGGAUCGGCUAACUCCGUGCCAGCAGCCGCGGUAAUACGGAGGAUCCGAGCGUUAUCCGGAUUUAUUGGGUUUAAAGGGUGCGUAGGCGGCCUUUUAAGUCAGCGGUGAAAGUCUGUGGCUCAACCAUAGAAUUGCCGGUGAUACUGGGGGGCUAGAGCAUGUUUGAGGCAGGCGGAAUGUGUGGUGUAGCGGUGAAAUGCUUAGAGAUCACGCAGAACCCCGAUUGCGAAGGCAGCCUGCCAAGCCAUGACUGACGCUGAUGCACGAAAGCGUGGGGAUCAAACAGGAUUAGAUACCCUUGUAGUC
rnacentral:rRNA from 1 species